UACGAAGGGGGCUAGCGUUGCUCGGAAUCACUGGGCGUAAAGCGCACGUAGGCGGCUUUCUAAGUCAGGGGUGAAAUCCUGGAGCUCAACUCCAGAACUGCCUUUGAUACUGGAGAGCUUGAGUCCGGAAGAGGUGAGUGGAACUCCGAGUGUAGAGGUGAAAUUCGUAGAUAUUCGGAAGAACACCAGUGGCGAAGGCGGCUCACUGGUCCGGUACCGACGCUGAGACGCGAAAGCGUGGGGAGCGAACAGG
rnacentral:rRNA from 1 species